rnacentral:rRNA from 1 species
AACGCGAAGAACCUUACCAGGGCUUGACAUGUCGCGAAUCCGGCUGAAAGGUGGGAGUGCCGUAAGGAGCGCGAACACAGGUGGUGCAUGGCGGUCGUCAGCUCGUGUCGUGAGAUGUUGGGUUAAGUCCCGCAACGAGCGCAACCCUCGUCCUUAGUUGCCAUUAUUAAGUUAGGCACUCUAGGGAGACUGCCGGUGACAAACCGGAGGAAAGUGGGGAUGACGUCAAGUCAGCAUGCCCCUUACGUCCUGGGCUACACACGUACUACAAUGGGGGAGACAAAGGGGAGCAACCCCCCAAGAGCAAGCAAAUCCCAUCAAACUCCGUCUCAGUUUAGAUUGCAGUCUGCAACUCGCCUGCAUGAAGUAGGAAUCGCUAGUAAUCGCUGAUCAGCAUGCCG